rnacentral:rRNA from 1 species
UGGGGAAUAUUGGACAAUGGGCGCAAGCCUGAUCCAGCAAUGCCGCGUGUGUGAAGAAGGCCUUCGGGUUGUAAAGCACUUUUAUCCAGGAGCGAAACGCUGUCGGCUAAUACCCGGCGGAACUGACGGUACCUGAGGAAUAAGCACCGGCUAACUUCGUGCCAGCAGCCGCGGUAAUACGAAGGGUGCAAGCGUUAAUCGGAAUUACUGGGCGUAAAGCGUGCGUAGGCGGUUUCUUAAGUCUGCUGUGAAAUCCCCGGGCUCAACCUGGGAAUGGCAGUGGAUACUGGGAGGCUAGAGUGUGUCAGAGGGUGGUGGAAUUCCCGGUGUAGCGGUGAAAUGCGUAGAGAUCGGGAGGAACAUCAGUGGCGAAGGCGGCCACCUGGGACAACACUGACGCUGAGGCACGAAAGCGUGGGGAGCAAACAGGAUUAGAUACCCUGGUAGUCCACGCCCUAAACGAUGCGAACUGGAUGUUGGUCUCAACUCGGAGAUCAGUGUCGAAGCUAACGCGUUAAGUUCGCCGCCUGGGGAGUACGGUCGCAAGACUGAAACUUAAAGGAAUCGACGGGGUC